rnacentral:misc_RNA from 1 species
AAAAAAAAACCUCGUGUUGCUCGUUAAAUGUGUGUCGAGUGUGGUAUUUUGUUUAAAAUCAACAAUAGUGAUUGCGUAAUAUUUUUUGUUUUAUUAGGAAAGAAAGCUUUGUGUUGUUCGUUACGUUAUUUGUGUCAUGUGUGGUAUUCAGCUAUUUAGUUAGAAAUGUCUGAUCGUGAGUCUGGGUCUACGGGUUGACACACUCCGUCUGAAGAACGAUAUAAAAAGCAGAAUUCUUGUAGACGUCGUGGUAAUUCACGCAGUAGUAAUUACGACCGUUUGGAUAGACAAACUCGUUCCUGUCACAAUCGUAGUAAAUCUCCCUGUGAAAGUACGAGGGAUAGGCGCCGCGAUAGUUCGUAUGGCCGUCGCGAUAGUGUACGACGUGAUGAUCCUUUUAAUCGAAUACUCAAGUGGUUAAAUGCACUAGAGAGUAGGCUGCCUACUACGGCGCCAUUGACGUCAAGUCCGAUACCGCAUCCCAGCGCCGGGGCGUGUAUCUCAACUUUCGCACCAGGAAACAACGAGGUCUCUGUUGACGAUGCGGAGUCGCACGCGACAGGUCAAGCGUCCGAGGCGCUUCGCGACGACAGCGCAGGGACAGCGAACAGGAUUGUUGACGCGUUUUUCAUUCAACUGUGACCACUAGCGACCAACUUCACGUGUAACAUAGCGUGGCCAGAGGUGCGAAGAGUGUGUGCUGCCUGCCUGAGCUACGUUGAGUACUGCUGCACGUGACAUACUCAGUUGUGCGUCGCACCGUACAGCCUGCUGAUGAGCGGUGAAUUGCUUGGCCUGUGCUGCAGUGCUGGGCCUGUGCUGCAGUGCUGGGCAGAGAAGAGUGAGCUGCGUGUGACGCUUCGCAGAGGGAUUAAUAUUGUAGCCCCGACAUUGUGGCUGUAGUUUGCCC